UCAGGAAGGGGCUAUCGUUGUUCGGAAUUACUGGGCGUAAAGAGAGCGCAGGCGGCUUACCAAGUUGGGGGUGAAAUCCCGGAGCUCAACUCCGGAACUGCCUUCAAAACUGGUAGGCUCGAGUCCGGAAGAGGGGCGUGGAAUUCUCAGUGUAGAGGUGAAAUUCGUAGAUAUUGGGAAGAACACCGGUGGCGAAGGCGGCGCCCUGGUCCGGUACUGACGAUGAGGCGCCAAAGCGUGGGGAGAAAACAGG
rnacentral:rRNA from 1 species